AAAGUCGUAACAAGGUUUCCGUAGGUGAACCUGCGGAAGGAUCAUUAAUGAAAUGUUAGGAUGCUCUUUUUAGAGGUCCGACCCAAAUCAUUUUUUCAACACUGUGAACACACUGCUUUUACACCCAUUUAUAAACUCAUAAGUCUAUAAGAAUGUAAAGUCUCUAACGAGCAAAAUAAUUUAAAUAAAACUUUCGGCAACGGAUCUCUUGGCUCUC
rnacentral:misc_RNA from 1 species